AAGUAGAUGUUUAACAGCUUGCUGAGAGUUUAUCCUCAGCCGGACCUAGUGGAGACACUAGUAAUCUGAGAAAUGAGCUUGGAGAUUAUUUUUCUCCAUGACCCAUGUUCGGUAUGAGACGAACACUAGGCUGCCUGGCAUAAAAAUAAAACAUUAAUAAAAAAAAGUCACAAAAAACAACAUAUUUUUAAACAAUUCUUCUAGUAGCAAUGGAGCCGUAGCUCCAAUUAAACGUUAUGAAAAUGCUUUAUUGAGCAAAAAUAUAAUUUUAACUGAAAAUAAAAAUAAAUCAGGUAUUUAUCACUGAGUAAAUAAAUUAAAUAAUAAUACUUAUGUGGGUAGUGGUUUAGAUUUAUCUAAAAGAGUAGGUGAUUACUACAAAAAAAGUGAACUAAAUAGAAAUCCUAGACCUAUACAUGCUGCUUUACUAAAAUAUGGAUACGAAAAUUUCAAUUUAGAAAUUUUAGAAUAUUGUAGAGCAGAUGAGCUUGUUGCAAGAGAACAGUAUUAUUUGGAUUUAAUAAAACCUGAGUAUAAUAUAUUAACAAAUGCUUAUUCUUUGUUGGGUUUUAAGCAUAGCCCUGAAAAUAUUGCUAAAUUUAAAUUAAAAAAGAUUUCACAGGAGCAUAAAGAUAUAUUAUCUUUAACUCAUUUAGGUAAGGUUGUUAGUCAGGAAACUAGAGAUAAAUUAUCUCUUGCUACAACCAAUUAUAAAAAAAAUAAUCCUCUUUCACCAGAAGCUUUAGCUAACAUAAAAGCUAAAACUGCGGAACGAGAAGGAGUAUCUGUUUCACUUUUAAAUACUCAAACUAAUGAAGUAGUAGAUUUUCCUACUUUAACUCAAGCAGGAGAGUAUUUAGGUGUAAAAAGACAAGCUAUACGAAACGCAAUUAAGAGAGGAAGUCUUGUUAAGGGACUGUAUCGUGUUACAGAGAAUUAGUAGGGCAGUAUAUACACACAUAUGUACUAAAUAAACUUAUAUAAAAUUACUUUAGCUUCAAUAUUAAACAAAUGAAGCCAGGGAUAUAUACAUUUUUUAAUAUGUAAUAUAACCUGUUGUCUAAAUGGAUGGUUCAAAUAUUGAACUGUUUAGGGAGAAGAUCUUUGCUUAAUUAGUGCAGAAGCAAGAUCUCUGUGUAUGUCAAAAGGGAAACAGCCCAGAACAAGAGUUAAGGUUCCGAAAUUAUUAUUAAGUGAAAUUAAGAAAGUUUUUAUUUAAGUCGACAAGGAGAUGGGCUUAGAAGCAGCCAUAAUUCAAAGACCUCGUAACAGAGCACUUGUUAAUUUUUUAAAAGCGUCUAAAAUUUAACGGAUCUAAAUAAUAUACCGAUACCUUGUCCAUAAUUGAUUAUAAUAAAUUUAUUAUUGUCGUUACUGGGGUAGCAGAACAUUGAGUAAACCUGCAACAUUUUUAUUAUUAUUUUAAUAGAUGUGAUAUACAGUAUACUCAAGUGAUAAUGGUGACAUGAGUAACAAAAAAGAAGUUUGAUCAAAUUUUGAUCGAGCGCUCGCCUAAAGCUUAUGGUUAUUUAAAGUAACGGCCUCUAAGUUUACAAUCCCAAAGGUUGAAACGAUGAGAAAAAUCUUAUUACUUAAAUGACAACAUUUUUAAAGUGUAAAGUGUGCUGGAAAAAAUAAGUAAUAUAUCCAUGUUUUACAAUAAACUAAAAUAGAUGAGUAAGACGUUGAUGAAAAAUAACCGUACCUAAAAACUGUGACAAGUAAGCUAGUGUAGAAUACGAAGGCGUAAAUGAGCUAACAAUCAUAAAGGAACUCGGCAAACUGACUACCGUAACUUAGGGAUAAGGAGGGCUCUAUUGUCCCAGGUAUCCAUUUUUAUCUUGGCAAUAAACUAAAAUAGAUGAGCAAGGUAAAAAAAAAGGAAUCACGGGUAAGAAGGAAGAAGCAUGAAAUAAUGUUGUACGACUGUUUAAUUAAAACAAAGCACUUUGCAUAAAGACUUAAAGUCUAAGUAUAGAGUGUGAUUUCUGCCCGGUGCCGGCUGGCUAACGAAAAUAACUAACUUUAAAAGGUUUGGUACUGUAGGAACCCCCGGUUAAUGGCGGCCUUAACGUGAGGGUCCUAAGGUAGCGGAAUACCUUGACUGUUAAAUGCAGUCUUUGCAUGAAUGAUGUAACGAUACAACAGCUGUCUCUAUGAUUGACUCAGUGAAAUUGGCAUAGCAGUGUUUAUGUGUGAUUAUAAAUUAAUAAUCUCGCUGCGUAAGUGAAAAUCUUACUCUGUAAACAUACUUUUUAUAAUGAUAAGAAUCUUUUUAUAAUCUCCAUAAACCAGACUUCAUAAAACUUUUAUGAGGCUUAAUUAUUAAAACUAAGCGUUCCAGCUAUGCUGGGAUGCCUAUAAAACUAGUAUUCACUAGUAUAAAAGUGAAGCUAAUUAUAGUAACACUUUUAUUUUAACAGAUUUACAUUAAAGGAGAGUUAUAGCGUAAAGCUUGGAAGUUAUACUACAGCAGUCAUUAUCCUAUGAAAGAGUGAACGUGCAUGGCUUCGGGGAAUUCUUUGAAUAAAAAGUAAAAUGGAGCUGAUAGAAGGUUACAACCGUACAGUUCUAUAAUUUACAGAAAAAUUAGGUGAAAACGGUCAACGGUAUCCUAACCAUAGACCGUCGGCAGUUGUAAAUGCCGCUACAGACUGGAUCACCGGGGCUAGGCUGAAAUGUCUGUCCAAAUGUACAGUCGGGUUCUGUAACGAAAUUAAAUUCGUAAGAGGGAAGGAAUUUCUAUAAUAUAUUUAUAGAUAACCAUCACACAGUGGUAAGUUAACCUCUAGUUAAUCAGAAUUGGCAGAUACUGCUUACCUCUAGUUAGACGAGAGUGCGACUAGAAAGUGCAAUAUAACAAUGUGGUGAAAUUCCACCUGAUAACCCAUUAUCUGAGCUCAUGCGGUAUGCAUUAAGAGUAAUCUUUUUGUGUAAAGCCUGCAAAAUUAGUUAUACUAUCCUUCCAUAGCAAUGCUGUGGAAGGCGAGCUAAUAUUACUAUGGAUAAAUUAAGUUGA
rnacentral:rRNA from 1 species